GGCUCAGUGGUCUAGUGGUAGGAGUAUGUGACACUGGCUACUAUUUAUUAAUUGGUUUUAUCUAAUAUAUUUUCAGUUGUCGCUUCGGGUGAAAACCCUGCAAGGUACAUGCAAAUGUGACAGGUCCCGCGUUCAAUCCGCGGCUGAGCCC
rnacentral:tRNA from 1 species